CAGAGUUUGUUAAACUGACAUGCAAAGUGUAGGAGGGGGGGUGCAUCUUUUCAGAGACAAGCCUGGUUAUCUGGGGCUCAGGACCCUGAAAGGAUCUGGAAAGCAAGAUAGACUGAGGCCAGGAGCCAGGAAAAAAAACGAUUCCCAUGGAACCCCCAGAAGCCAAACCUCCAAAGCGUAUUCAUAUUUUAAGUGUUGCUGGCAUCCUUUGAUCCUUUGGGAGUGGAAAAGAGUGUCCUUUACAAGGGGUGUAAAUGUCCAUCGUUCUUUGAGAGAUGCAUCUUUAAGCUAGAAUGUCAUAGCGACUUUUGGGGUAGUUUGCUUUCGGCAAAGGGGGACAAAGUCAUGGGGUGAGAGGGAAGGAGGACCCAAAACAGCCUCCAAGACCCUCACCAUCUCUUCACCGGCUCCCCCUCCCCCCCCACAGGUCCUGUAAGAAGUUGGGCCCAGCUGGAAGGGAUUGACCUCUUUCUUCCACUUCAUGCGACGGUUCUGGAACCAGAUUUUGAUCUGACGCUCGGACAGGCAAAGCGCGUGGGCGAUCUCGAUACGUCGCCGCCGGGUCAGGUUGCUUGUCUGAAGAUGGAGCCACAACGGCCAGGGCCAGGGCGCCUGGAGUCGGGCAUGAAAGGAAAUAGCGCCUCAUCGCUCUUAUCUAAGCCCAGAGACGCCUCUUCGCCCUAGGCUGGCCUCUGCGGAGAUUCCAGGCCCCACAGAGACCAGGACUUCCCUCAGCGCCACCGCCCCUCGUGCCAAUGCAGCCGGGAAAUCGCCAUUACCCACACUGGGCAAGAGAAACCGCACGGGGGCAAUCGGAGAGGCCAGGAAAAGGGAGAGAUGGAGGGAGAACUUGGGGGAUUUUGCCCUCCUCCGGAUUCAAAAGGAUGUGGAGGGAGGGAUAAAGGAGCGUUCGGUAUCUUCUUCAGCUUCCAGAUAAUAUUGUCCCAACCUGAGAGCCGUCGUUUCCCCUUCUCAGACUUGAGAGAGAGGUUGUUUCGCUUUUCUGAUAUUUGCAUAGAAAAUGGAGUAAGUUCUGGCUUUGAAAAAUGAUAUCAGGCUGCAGUCCGAAGGUUCCAGGUUGGCCGUACUCAGGAGCAGGCCGAACGGCCCAGAGGAAGCCCUGGCGUCCGGUGCUGCCAGGCUCACUGCGGACGCACCCCAGCCCGGUAAACUCACUGUCGCUCGCCGGGACUGGUUUCCCUUCAAUUUAAAAAUUUCAUGUGGAUCGCCCAUGCCAAUUUAGAAUGAAAUAGAUUUAAAUACAUAAAGUAAAAAUAAAUUGAAAUAAAAGCAAGGCAUCUGAUGAAAGAUAUACAGAAAGAGGCUCGUGAAUAGGACCUAGAAACAGCAGCCAAAAUGCACCAGACGCAGAAGCUAGUGGAUCCUCAGGGCUCCAUACAACCC
rnacentral:lncRNA from 1 species